AAUAGUCGAUCGCUGAAUUUUCUCUAAGAAAAGCGGGGGAACCAAGUUUUCUGGGGUGAAUCGGUCCGGACCUUACGUCUUUGGACUGAAGGGCGCAUUCUCACUGCCCUAAUCCGACAGCUAACCUCGUAAGCGAAGUGGGAAGGAUAG
rnacentral:sRNA from 2 species